rnacentral:lncRNA from 1 species
AAAGCUCUUAUAUACCUUCACUUUUUCCCAGCAAAUUCUAUUAAGGCAGCUGAACUGAGGAAAAGCAUCAUAUCAGCCUCUUACUUAACCACUCAGCACAGCCCAGUCAGUCUCCUACAACUGAGCAAACCCUGAUGUCUUUCAGCCAGCCUUCCACCACUCCAGGAUCUUUCACCUGGUUGUUUUACAGAUCCUAGAACCUCACCAGAUGGCAGAAAAUAACUACGUGCUGAUCACAAGCACAGCACUAAACCCCAGACUAGUUGGAAUUAGAAAAUAGAUGAUGAUGUACCACUCUGUUAAUCUCCCACCAACCAAUCAGAAGAACAUCUGAGCUGAUCAGGUACCUUGUCUUUAAAUAUCCUUUCCUGGAAGCCAUCAGAGAAUUCAGGUCUUUUAAGCAUGAGCUAUUGUUCUC